AGUGAACGCUGGCGGUAGGCCUAACACAUGCAAGUCGAACGGCAGCACAGUAAGAGCUUGCUCUUACGGGUGGCGAGUGGCGGACGGGUGAGGAAUACAUCGGAAUCUACUUUUUCGUGGGGGAUAACGUAGGGAAACUUACGCUAAUACCGCAUACGACCUACGGGUGAAAGCAGGGGAUCUUCGGACCUUGUGCGAUUGAAUGAGCCGAUGUCGGAUUAGCUAGUUGGCGGGGUAAAGGCCCACCAAGGCGACGAUCCGUAGCUGGUCUGAGAGGAUGAUCAGCCACACUGGAACUGAGACACGGUCCAGACUCCUACGGGAGGCAGCAGUGGGGAAUAUUGGACAAUGGGCGCAAGCCUGAUCCAGCCAUACCGCGUGGGUGAAGAAGGCCUUCGGGUUGUAAAGCCCUUUUGUUGGGAAAGAAAAGCAGCAGGUUAAUACCCCGCUGUUCUGACAGUACCCAAAGAAUAAGCACCGGCUAACUUCGUG
rnacentral:rRNA from 1 species